GUCCUGACCAAAUCUCGUGCCAGCAGUCGCGGUAAUACGAGAAGGGCAAGCGUUAAUCAUCUUAAUUUGGUCUAAAGGGUUCGUAGAUGGUAUAAUAAGUCUUAUGUAAGAUACUAUUAUACUAGAGUAUAUAAGGGGAUUAAAGAAUGUAUAGAAUAAUGAUGAAAUAUGAAUAAAGUAUGCUAUACAGACUGCUAAAAGUGAAGACAUUAAUCUAUAAUAUACUGACAUUGAGGAACUAAGGCUAUGGAUAGCGAGCCGGAUUCGAUACCCGAGUAGUCCUAGCAAAGAGCGAUGAAUGUUAAUACUAUAUUUAAAUAUUAAUAAAUAAUAUAUGUAUACAGUGAAGACGUGAAACAUUCCACCUGGAGAGUACGGUUGAAAGACUGAAACUCAAAACA
rnacentral:rRNA from 1 species